UUAAUGAAUAAAUUUAAAAAUUUAAAAAAAUUAUUUUAAAAAAAAUUAUUUUAUAAGUAUUUUGUUAAUUGAAAAAUUUAAAAAAUUAAUUAAAAAUAAAAUUAAAAGAUUAUUUUAUAAAAGUUUAUAAGAAAAAUUAAAUAUUUGUUCCUUUUGUAUCAGGAUUAAUUAAAUUUAAAAUAAAUUUUAAAUUCUCGAAAUUAAAAUAUUUAAAUAAAUAAUUUAUUUAAUAUUAAAAUAUUAUUAAUAAUAUUUAUUUAAAAAUUAUAAGUUAUUUGUUUUUAAUGAUAUCUAGUUAUUUAAUAAAAAAAUUUAAUUUUUUUAUAAAUUAUAUAUAUAUAUUUUAUUUUAAAUAUAUUUAUUUUUUUAUAAAAAAGAAUUUAGGGAUAAACUUAAAUUUUUUUUUUAAAAUUUAUUUAUUAAAAUUUAAUAAUUAUAAAAUUUAAAAUUUUUAUUAAUAAAAAUAAUUUAAUAAUUUUUAAAAUUUUUAUAAAAAUUUAUAAUAAGUUAAUUUAAGUUUUUAUUAAAUUAAAAAAUUAAAUAAAUUUAUUUUUAAAAUAAUGAUUAAAUUAGUAAAUAUAUAUAUAUAUAUAUAUAUAUAAUAUUAAAUAUAAAUUCUUAAGAAAAAAUUAUUUAAAUAAUUCAGCAAAAAUUUAUCCACCUGUUUAAUAAAAACAUGUCUUAAAGAAUUUAAUUUUAAGUCAGAUCUGCCCAAUGAAUAAUUUAAAUGGCUGCAGUAUUUUUAACUGUACAAAGGUAGCAUAAUAAUUUGUUUUUUAAUUAAAAACUAGAAUGAAAGAUUUAAUGAGAUAAAAUCUGUUUCAAAUAAAUUAAUUAAAUUUAUUAUUUAAGUAAAAAAACUUAAAUUUUUUAUAAAGACGAUAAGACCCUAUAGAAUUUUAUUUAUUUAGUAAAAAAAAUUUUUUAAAUAAAUUUAAUUGGGGUAAUAAAAAAAUUAAAUAAAUUUUUUUUAAAUUUUUACAUAAAUUAAUGAAUUUAAUUAAUUAAAAUAUGUCUUAAUUUUUAAAUUAAAAAAAUUAAUUACCUUAGGGAUAACAGCAUAAUUUUUUUUAAGAGUUCUUAUCAAUAAAAAAGAUUAUGACCUCGAUGUUGAAUUAAGAUAAAAUUUAAAUGCAAAAAUUUAAAAAUUUAAGUCUGUUCGACUUUUAAAAUCUUACAUGAUUUGAGUUAAAAUCGGUGUAAGCCAGAUUGGAUUCUAUCUUAUAAAUAAAUAAUAUAAUUGUACGAAAGGAAUUUAUAUUAAAAAUAAUUUUUAUAAAAAUUAAAAAAUAUAAUUUAU
rnacentral:rRNA from 1 species